rnacentral:rRNA from 1 species
UAGCAUAUCAAUAAGCGGAGGAAAAGAAACUAACGAGGAUUCCCCUAGUAACUGCGAGUGAAGCGGGAAAAGCUCAAAUUUGAAAUCUGGCGGUCUUUGGCUGUCCGAGUUGUAAUCUAGAGAAGUGUUACCCGCGUUGGACCGUGUAUAAGUCUCCUGGAAUGGAGCGUCAUAGAGGGUGAGAAUCCCGUCUUUGACACGGACUACCAAGGCUUUGUGGUAUGCUCUCAAAGAGUCGAGUUGUUUGGGAAUGCAGCUCAAAAUGGGUGGUAAAUGCCAUCUAAAGCUAAAUAUUGGCGAGAGACCGAUAGCGAACAAGUACCGUGAGGGAAAGAUGAAAAGAACUUUGGAAAGAGAGUUAAACAGUACGUGAAAUUGCUGAAAGGGAAACGCUUAAAGUCAGUCGCGUUGGCUUGAAAUCAACCUUGCUUUUGCUGGGUGUACUUUCUAGUUGACGGGUCAACAUCAGUUUUGACCAGUGGAUAAAGUCAAUGGGAAUGUGGCUCCUUCGGGAGUGUUAUAGCCCAUAGUCGCAUACAUUGGUUGGGACUGAGGCUCUCAGCACGCCUUUAUGGCCUGGUUUCGACCAAGUUCGUGCUUAGGAUGUUGGCAUAAUGGCUUUAAUCGACCCGUCUUGAAACACGGACCAAGGAGUCUAACAUGCUUGCGAGUAUUUGGGUGGAAAACCCUUGUGCGUAAUGAAAGUGAAAGUUGAGAUCCCUGUCGUGGGGAGCAUCGACGCCUGGACCAGAGCUUUUGUGACGGAUCCACGGUAGAGCACGUAUGUUGGGACCCGAAAGAUGGUGAACUAUGCCUGAAUAGGGUGAAGCCAGAGGAAACUCUGGUGGAGGCUCGUAGCGAUUCUGACGUGCAAAUCGAUCGUCAAAUUUGGGUAUAGGGGCGACAUGA